rnacentral:rRNA from 1 species
GCGAGCUUGCCUAGAUGAUUUUAGUGCUUGCACUAAAUGAAACUAGAUACAAGCGAGCGGCGGACGGGUGAGUAACACGUGGGUAACCUGCCCAAGAGACUGGGAUAACACCUGGAAACAGAUGCUAAUACCGGAUAACAACACUAGACGCAUGUCUAGAGUUUGAAAGAUGGUUCUGCUAUCACUCUUGGAUGGACCUGCGGUGCAUUAGCUAGUUGGUAAGGUAACGGCUUACCAAGGCAAUGAUGCAUAGCCGAGUUGAGAGACUGAUCGGCCACAUUGGGACUGAGACACGGCCCAAACUCCUACGGGAGGCAGCAGUAGGGAAUCUUCCACAAUGCACGAAAGUCUGAUGGAGCAACGCCGCGUGAGUGAAGAAGGGUUUCGGCUCGUAAAGCUCUGUUGGUAGUGAAGAAAGAUAGAGGUAGUAACUGGCCUUUAUUUGACGGUAAUUACUUAGAAAGUCACGGCUAACUACGUGCCAGCAGCCGCGGUAAUACGUAGGUGGCAAGCGUUGUCCGGAUUUAUUGGGCGUAAAGCGAGUGCAGGCGGUUCAAUAAGUCUGAUGUGAAAGCCUUCGGCUCAACCGGAGAAUUGCAUCAGAAACUGUUGAACUUGAGUGCAGAAGAGGAGAGUGGAACUCCAUGUGUAGCGGUGGAAUGCGUAGAUAUAUGGAAGAACACCAGUGGCGAAGGCGGCUCUCUGGUCUGCAACUGACGCUGAGGCUCGAAAGCAUGGGUAG